GCACUUGAGCAGCGGUCUCCAACCACAGGGCCACAGAGCUGGAGCUGGAUCUACCAUGAAAGACUUGUGAAUCCAGGAAGAGAGACUGACUGGGCAACAUGUUAUUCAGGGUCUCCCUCUGUUGUCCAAGGCUGGAGUGUAGUAGUGCUAUCGCAGCUGACUGCAGCCUCAACCUUCCAGGCUGAAGCGAUCCUCCCACCUCAACCUCCCACGUGGCUGAGACUACAGGUGCUUGCCACUAUGCCCAACUAACAUUUGGAAUUUUCGUAUACGUGGAUUCCAGAGGGGUGACAGCGAAACGUGGGACCAUCCAGUUGCAGGAAAACAAGCUUAACACGCCCACUAAUUCUACAUUAUGCUCCUACCUCCCGGCAGCCUCUCCAGGCCCAGAACUUUCUCCAGUCAGCCUCUACAGACCAAGCUCAUGACUCACAAUGGCCUAUUUAGGCCCAUACCCUACGUCACGGCAGCCUCCGCAGAUGAGGCUACUGCCUCACAACAGCCUCCACAGGCACAGCUCCAUCGUUACAAUGGCCUCUUUAGACCCAGCUCCUGCCUCCCAGCCUUCUCUCCAGGCCCUGAACUUUCUCAAGUCGACCUCACCAGGCCCAGCUCAUGCUUCUUUGCAGCCUCUCCAGGCCCAGCUCCUGCAUCUUGGUGGCCCCUCCAGGCCCAGCCUCUGCCUCCCGUCGGCCUCUGCAGUCCCAACGUCUGCCUCACAGCAGAUUCUUCACGCCCAGCAUCUACCUCACUGUGGACCCCCCAAGCCAAGCUCCCAACCUUUCAGCAGCUU
rnacentral:lncRNA from 1 species